rnacentral:rRNA from 1 species
CCUACGGGAGGCAGCAGUGGGGGAUAUUGCACAAUGUGGGAAACCCUGAUGCAGCGACGCCGCGUGGGCGAAGAAGUAUUUCGGUAUGUAAAGCCCUAUCAGCAGGGAAGAAGAAAUGACGGUACCUGAGUAAGAAGCACCGGCUAAAUACGUGCCAGCAGCCGCGGUAAUACGUAUGGUGCAAGCGUUAUCCGGAUUUACUGGGUGUAAAGGGAGCGCAGGCCGCACGGCAAGCCUGAUGUGAAAGCCCGGGGCCCAACCGCGGGACUGCAUUGGGAACUACCGGGCUGGAGUGCCGGAGAGGUAGGCGGAAUUCCUAGUGUAGCGGUGAAAUGCGGAGAUAUUAGGAGGAACACCAGUGGCGAAGGCGGCCUACUGGACGGUGACUGACGCUGAGGCUCGAAAGCGUGGGGAGCAAACAGGAUUAGAUACCCGGGUAGUC